rnacentral:rRNA from 1 species
UGGGGAAUAUUGCACAAUGGGCGCAAGCCUGAUGCAGCCAUGCCGCGUGUAUGAAGAAGGCCUUCGGGUUGUAAAUCACUUUCAGUCGGGAGGAAGGUGGUAAGGUUAAUAACCUUAUCAAUUGACGUUACCGACAGAAGAAGCACCGGCUAACUCCGUGCCAGCAGCCGCGGUAAUACGGCGGGUGCAAGCGUUAAUCGGAUUUACUGUGCGUAAAGCGCUCGCAGGCGGUUGAUUGAGUCAGAUGUGAAAUCCUCGGGCUUAACCCGGGAAUUGGGUCUGAUACUGGUCAGCUAGAGUCUUGUAGAGGGGGGUAGAAUUCCAUGUGUAGCGGUGAAUUGCGUAGAAAUGUGGAGGAAUACCGGUGGCGAAGGCAGCCCGCUGGACAAAGUCUGACGCUCAGGUGCGAAAGCGUGGGGAGCAAACAGG